UUGUCCGGAUUUAUUGGGCGUAAAGCGUGCGCAGGCGGUUAGGAAAGAAAGAUGUGAAAUCCCAGGGCUCAACCUUGGAACUGCAUUUUUAACUCCCGGACUAGAGUGUGUCAGAGGGGGGUGGAAUUCCACGUGUAGCAGUGAAAUGCGUAGAUAUGUGGAGGAACACCGAUGGCGAAGGCAGCCCCCUGGGAUAACACUGACGCUCAGGCACGAAAGCGUGGGGAGCAAA
rnacentral:rRNA from 1 species